rnacentral:tRNA from 1 species
AUUUAUAUAGUAUAAAAAUUAUAUGUAACUUCCAAUUACAAGAUCUAUAAAUAGUAUAAAUA